rnacentral:misc_RNA from 1 species
UACGAAUGCCUCAAGCGUUAUCCGGAUUUAUUGGGCGUACAGGGUCCGUAGGCGGCUUUAUAAGUCAUCUGUUAAAUUUUUAGGCUUAACCUAAAAAUCGCAGGAGAUACUGUAAAGCUAGAGGAUGGUAGAGGUACACGGAAUUGUCGGUGUAGGGGUAAAAUCCGUUUAUAUCGACAAGAACACCGAAGGCGAAAGCAGUGUACUGGAACAUUCCUGACGCUGAGGGACGAAAGCGUGGGUAGCGAAUGGG